GAGAAGUCACAGCAUGAAGGCUUCCAGGAGCUGCAAGACAUCCUUGUGGUCAGGGCGCCUGCUGGUCAUUAUGAUGGAGCGUCGGCAGAGAUCGAGCUGGCGGAAGGCUGGCGGCCGGGUCAAGCUCACCACUGACAUGCGCUCGGCCAAUGUUGUUGACCUCGGCUAUGACAAUCUUACUAAGGUGGUGGUGGAGGUGGGGAACGGCAUCUACAUUGACGACGGACUCAAGGAGAUCGCUGAGACUACUACUAUUACUAUUGCUAUCCUCUAUACUGCUAUGUGUACUAUUAAAUCCUCUUUACUGCUACUAUGUGUACUAUUUAAUCCCUUAUAUAGUACUUCCAUGACAGCUGAUACUACUUCUACUACUUCUACUACUACUAUGACCACUCAAUCCCUGGUAAGUACAAUGUCAUUAUCAUUAUCAUUAAUUAGGUUAAGGUCCAUUUAAUUCAAUCUUUCUGAGCGGUUGGACACUUUAUGGCUCUCCUCCAUUCUACUCUGUCUUCCGCCCAAUGCUUAUACAGUUCUAUCAAUCCCAAGUCUUCCUGUACACACCUUCUCCAUGUUUUUCUAGGUCUACCAACUGGUCUCCUUCCUUCUACCUCCAUUCUACUCUGUCUUCUGCCCGAUGCUCAUCCAAUCCCAUCAGUGCCAAGUCUUCCUGUACACAACUUCUCCAUGUUUUUCUAGGUCUGCCAACUGGUAUCCUUCCUUCUACCUCCAGUCUCUCCAACACUCCCAGCACUGUGUCCUCCCCUGCCCUCUUUACAUGUCCAAACCAUCAGAGUCUUUCCCUUCUGAGCACUGUUUCCAGGUCCUCUACUAAAACUCCCAGCACUGUGUCCUCCCCUGCUCUCUUUACAUGUCCAAACCAUCGGAGUCUUUCCCUUCUGAGCACUGUUUCCAGGUCCUCUACUAAAACUCCCAGCACUGUGUCCUCCCCUGCUCUCUUUACAUGUCUCUGCCAAAUAUUUCCCUCUCCCUGCCUCUGUCCCUGCCAAAUCACUCUCUCCCUGCCUGUGUCCCUGCCAUAUCUCUCCCUCCCUGCCAAAUCUAGCCUCUCCUCCUUACCUAACCUACCUGACCCUACCCUAAGCUACCCUAACCUACCUCUCUCUCCACCAGGUUGACAAGCCCGUCCAUGGUGAAGAAGCCCUGUCCUACCUGCGCUGAGAGGACCCGUGUGGGCAACGCUACCAUGGACGGAGCAGUGGGGGAGGCGGUGGCUGAGUGGAUAGCAUGAUGGCGCCAUAUUCGGGACAAUGUGAGUUUAAUCCCUGCCCGGUGCCACCAAGCUGGGAUUUUUCAGCCGCCGCCAAGUGGCUUAAAACUACCCACAUGCGAGCAAAGUCUGGAAACUUAUCUUCGUUACUGGGGCUAUUUCCUUGCAAAUGGGGACUCUCCUGGGAGAGUACAUCACGGCAAAGUCAUUUCUGGUCUCGAAAUUGCAAUACAGCGCCUACCGGUCGAGAUAGCCUUGUCUAGUUCUGUCUCUCUCUUAUCUCUGUGUGUUAUGUAAAGGCUGGCCUCUAACAAUACAUGCAAAAACAUAUGUAACUGUACCUAAUGGGCUGUUAAGAAAUGUUUCAAAUGUUUUAAAUGUUUCAAAUGUUCUGUCUUUACCUCUCAGUUAAUUCAUUCUUCCUCAUAUAUAUAUCUUGAUUGCCCUCUCAUCUUUUUAAUUAAUCCUCGAUCGCUCUCUCUUAAUCAUCCCAGCCAGCUGUUCCUCAUAGGGCCCUCACACACCUGUACACAAUUUUCCGUACAUACCAAGAUCCAUUUCUAAUAGUCAGCCAACUCUAAUAUAAAUUCUCUCUCCCACGCUCUUUAUA